rnacentral:rRNA from 1 species
UACGAAGGGGGCGAGCGUUGUUCGGAUUUACUGGGCGUAAAGGGCGCGUAGGCGCUUGUCAGUCAGGCGUGAAAGCCCCGGGCUCAACCUGGGAACGGCGCUUGGGACGGCGAGGCCGGAGUUCGGGAGAGGAGAGUGGAAUUCCCAGUGUAGAGGUGAAAUUCGUAGAUAUUGGGAAGAACACCGGUGGCGAAGGCGGCUCUCUGGACCGACACUGACGCUGAGGCGCGAAAGCGUGGGGAGCAAACAGG